rnacentral:rRNA from 1 species
ACAUGUCCACUUCGUAACGUUAAUGUAUCGGAUCCCAUUAGAAAUCUGCAGUUAAGCGUGCUCAGGCUAGAGUAGUACUGAGAUGGGUGACUUCCUGGGAAAUCUAAUGUUUUACAUGCC